CACGUAGGGGGCGAGCGUUGUCCGGAUUUAUUGGGCGUAAAGGGCUCGUAGGCGGCUCAGUAAGUCGGGUGUGAAACCUCCAGGCUCAACCUGGAGACGCCACUCGAUACUGCUGUGGCUAGAGUCCGGUAGGGGAGCAUGGAAUUCCUGGUGUAGCGGUGAAAUGCGCAGAUAUCAGGAGGAACACCAGUGGCGAAGGCGGUGCUCUGGGCCGGAACUGACGCUGAUGAGCGAAAGCGUGGGGAGCGAACAGG
rnacentral:rRNA from 1 species